rnacentral:rRNA from 1 species
UACGUAGGUGGCAAGCGUUGUCCGGAUUUAUUGGGUUUAAAGGGUGCGUAGGCGGUGACUUAAGUCAGUUGUGAAAUACGGGCAGCUUAACUGUCGAGGUGCAAUUGAUACUGGGACACUUGAGUACUGAUGAGGUAAGCGGAAUGGACGGUGUAGCGGUGAAAUGCUUAGAUAUCGUCCAGAACACCGAUAGCGAAGGCAGCUUACUAAGGAGUAACUGACGCUGAGGCACGAAAGUGUGGGGGAUCAAACAGG